CGCCCAGUUUUCCCCCUUCAUCAUAAACCCAAAAUUCCCCUCGUUCUCAAAACCUAAACUGAAUCAACAUCCUUCUAUCACCCUCUUUUUUUUUUCUCUGUCGCUCUCAAUCUUCCCUACCGCAACAACUCAGAGGUUGCUUCCACCAUUCAAAUCGUCUGUUGUGGGGCUGCUCCGGCGGUGGUGAUGUUUAGGGCCGGCUCAGGAUGUAAAUGAAGUGAAGCGGUCGCUGGGGGAUCUCAAUUUUUCUUAGGGUUUUUGAGUUCUUGAUAAUAGUUAUUCAGUGAAAGGGAUAAUAAAGUCGCUUGGAGGUUCUUUGCAGACUUGGCAAGUCAAAAAUUCUAUUUCACAAUAGUUAGUCGUUGAAGUGUGAAGGAGCAUGCUUCAACUCCAAACAAGUCUCAAUCUAGUGCCAGAUGACACUCAACUUGCUGUCAUAUGUAUAAAUCAAAGCAUUUUUCCAAAUGAGGUUCAAUUUACUUGAAAGCCAUGGGCCACUACCAAUCACAGCUUCUUGACCUUGUGUUUCAUGGGAGUAAGCCACUACCCUUGUCCAUUCGAGCAGCUCUCAAAUCCCUAAUUGAGCAGGUAGAAGAAGCUUAGCAGCAGUGGCGUGUGGCGUUUACUAAAACGAAAGACAAGCUGAAAAUUUUGUUUAAUGAACGAUGAAAAGAGGCGAACAUAGAAGAAAUCAAAUCUGGUUUAUAGACAAAGAGAGUGUACAAGGGAUCGAGAGUUUGGUUUCAUAUGCAAUUGCACAGAUGCAACAACUUAGUUCUAAUCUUCCCGAGGGCUCGAUCGAUAAGCCUGGACCAGAUGAUGUUUUUUUCUAAAGUAAUGGGUAAUGAUCGAAAUGGUGAUGCCGUUAUAUAUGGUCUGGGUGUUCGUGCUGCUGAUGUUUGGGGUGUAAUACCAAGUCAUUCGGCAUGUCAUAGAGAAAACAUCCAAUUGAAGUCUCAAUGUGAAGAACUUACUAGUACUGUGGUCCAGUUACGAGCCCAAGUAUUAGAGAUGGAAGGGUCGAGGGGUGGUUCUAGUGUUCAACCUCUUGCAUCACAACAUUUCCCCAAUGUAACCAAUGGACAUCAACGUUUACGGGUCAGAGAUGAAGUUUUUCUCAAAAGCAUUCUAAACUCUACCGAUACUGUAGCAAGAGGAAGGGUCCAGAGCUUGGACCCAAUGAUCUAGUUGGUGGUACAAAGAUUGGACCAAAAUGGUGUGAGGUAAACGUUCAAGUACCAAUAAAAAAAGAUGAAAACUUGGUAAGACCAUAUGGUUUAUUUUCUACAAUUCAAGAUUGUAUUGGUGCAUCCAUCGCAUGGCCCUAUCCAUUCAUCUCGGUAGUCCAUGAUGAUUGAGGACGCAUGAUGACUCAAGAUUUUAUGCUUCUUAUUUCUUUAAUUGCUCUUAAUUUCUUUGUUAAAUGUUAAGACUUUAUGUUAAAUAAUGUUAUAACUUAUUAUGGUUAGUGCUUUUGUUAUAAACAUGCUUAUGUGAAAUAUAAUGAAGUUUUAUUUCUUUCA